CCAGGCGCGCCGCCCUGCGCGCGCCUCCGCGCCUGCGUGCCGAGACGGCUGCGGCGGGGGAGGGGCGGUGGGGACGGUUCCUCGGCUUUCAGGCUGCUGGGCUUCGUCGGGGCCGGAGGGUUAGAGCUGCAGCUCGGCGUGGGAGGACCGGGCUCCAAAAUGCCAGCGAAGGGACAGAGCAAAGACCCUUACCUCCCUGUUUAUAAAUCCCGUUAUUUUCUCUGUGAGGGUCUUAAAUAGCCUCUCCGCGAGAGGGGGUCUAACCACAUACCUCCUCAGCAAAGUCGCUCCCUGGUCAGAAAAUGCCUGGCGGCGUCGCCGCGAUGGCAGUCUCCGCAGUGACUGUGUACACGUCCAGAGAGCGCCCGUCAAGUGCGGGGACAGAAGAGAGUGGAGGCCUGGAAAGGUUCUUCUUUAUAACUAAUCUGCCCUCUUGAAUUGGUGGUGUCUAAGGCCAUUCAUGUUGUGAUGGUCCAGCUGGUCUGGAAGAAAGCCUAGAACCCCUUGUGACCUGAAUGCACCCACUUCCCAGACCACUCCCCUUCUGAGUCCUUGCUACAAUGAUGAUGGAGAGACCACCCAACAGAUCUCCAGAUGAGGACACCUGAAGCUCACAGAGGUGGAAAGCAACUAGCCCAAGACUCAACAUUAGCAAAU